rnacentral:rRNA from 1 species
UACGUAGGUGGCAAGCGUUGUCCGGAUUUAUUGGGUUUAAAGGGUGCGUAGGCGGCUUUGUAAGACAGUGGUGAAAUAUGGCAGCUCAACUGUCAAGGUGCCAUUGAUACUGCGGAGCUUGAGUACAGAUGAGGUAGGCGGAAUUGACGGUGUAGCGGUGAAAUGCUUAGAUAUCGUCAAGAACACCUAUAGCGAAGGCAGCUUACUAGGCUGUAACUGACGCUGAGGCACGAAAGUGUGGGGAUCAAACAGG